rnacentral:rRNA from 1 species
UACGGGGGGGGCAAGCGUUGUUCGGAAUUACUGGGCGUAAAGGGCUCGUAGGCGGCCAACUAAGUCAGACGUGAAAUCCCUCGGCUUAACCGGGGAACUGCGUCUGAUACUGGAUGGCUUGAGGUUGGGAGAGGGAUGCGGAAUUCCAGGUGUAGCGGUGAAAUGCGUAGAUAUCGGAAGGAACAUCAGUGGCGAAAGCGACUUCCUGGACCAGUACCGACGUUCAGGCACGAAAGCGUGGGGAGCAAACAGG